AGACAGGGUUUCACCAUGCUGGCCAGGCUGGACUUGAGCUCCUGACCUCAAGUGAUCCGCCCACCUCAGCCUCCAAAAGUGCUGGGAUUACAGUCUUGAGCCACCGCGCCCAGCCAAAAAGAAAUCCUUUUACCUGCAAAGGUUGGCAAUCAUGGAACCAGAUGACAGUGACAAGUAGGGUCUGUGGAGGAGACAGAGGCCUCCUGGGUUGGCUUCUUGCAGCCUGCUGUGCCCGGAGCUGCCAUGGGCACGGCUGGAUUUUGCCCACUGGCCUGGGUACAAAGCAAUAGGUGGAGCAGAUGAUUUGAAGCGGGCAAGGCACACAAGAGUCCCCAGGUGAAGAAAGGACUCAAUUUCCCAUCCCUGUUUACAGAUGCCAAACCUGAGGCACAGAGAGGUUGAGUCCCAUCCCCAGGGGCACACAGCUAGGAGAGGCACAGUCAAGCUUCAGAGCCAGGCGCCCUGGCCCCAGCCCUGCUCUGGAUACCUUGGCGGUGGCUGGAGUGGCACAUGGAGCUGCAGCCAUGGAGGCGUGUCUUGCUUCUUUGAGGCCUCACCGCUGAACUCGCAAAAAUCUCCCUUUACCCCAGUCUCCCCAGCCAGCCAGGUACCUGCUGGCCUUUGUUCAGGCUGUCAGAUAACAGGCAAUUGUGUGCUUAGUUCUCUCUGAUGUGAACAACUCCGCUGGGAAUUCUCAGCGACAGUCAAGAAAUUAAUUUUGUAUAGGUCAACAAGCACCUUGUGCUAAGUAAGAAUGAUUCUCUGCCCUUCCCGGGCCUCCGCGACGGAGCCAUGGUGAACAGAGUCACGUCUGUCCAGUGGGAGCUCGGCGUUGCUGUAUCCCUGUAUCGCCUCCCGGAGCCCUGGACCCCUGUAGGCAGUGAGGGCUGAAGGACCAAGCGAACAGCCUCUGGCCCUAGACUCCUCCUCCAUGAAGAACACCCUUUUCUGACCCCCGUCUUUGGGGUUCCACUGGGCCUGACUGUAGACACAGUACAGGGACCUAUGGAGGGGCGGGGGUUCGGGUCAGACAUGCCUUUGGGGUUCCACUGGGCCUGACUGCAGACACAGCACGGGGACCCAUGGAGGGGCCGGGGUUCAGGUCAGACAUGCCCUGAACUUCCCUAAGAGCUCUGCUGGCCUUGAUGAUCACCAGCCCCCUUCCUGGUCUUAGAGACUGGGAGUCCCCCCAGCAUCCUUUAAACAGCAGGGGAUCGAAACUCAGAGGCUCUGAGUGGCCACCCAGUUAGUCCCCCAAAUGCCUGUGGGAAGCUGUUUUGUCCUGUUUUUCACUGCAUCACGGUUUGAUUUCUGGUCCUCAAAGCAAUUAACAUUUGGCAUCAAACAGGGAAACAGACAGAGCCUCGCCCCCGCAAACGCCUCACUCACACGCAUGCAUGGACAUGCACACACCCACACAUGUGCACACUGCUGCUCGCCCAUGUGUCUGUCAUGACAGGGCGCUGUGUUUCCUACUCCCGCGGUCAUCCUGCUGGCAGAUGACCAGGUCCCAGGCAGUAGCAAUGCGGCACAGCUGCAGGAGAUCCGAAGCUGCCUGGGCUGUCCACAGUGGCGUGGGCCUCAGCUGCAGCUUCCAGCACAGCUGCUUAGAUAGGGCCAGCUUUUUUUUUUUUUUUUUAAACAAACCUGAAGCUCAUUGUGUGGUCGAAGAUGUGGUUUGCGAGUGCCCAUGGCAGGAUUCCCACUGCGGAGACUCCUGUACAUCGGGUAUGAGGCAGCACAUUGCGUGCAAUGCAUUCUGGUCUUUUUUCCUCCCUCCAGAAGAGGCUCCAUUUAUGUGUUAGGCUUUAAGAGGCUGGGCGUACCAAAAGGAAGUCUCUGAAACGCAGUCCUGUCGAACACCUCUGGAGUUGAUUCUUCUGAUAUCACAGGAGUUCUUCCUAUCACUGUAUAUUAUUGGGUGCGAGCCCCCGGUCCUUCCUCUAUGAGGAGGCAGUGGAGGGAAGAGUUGAACCUCUUCUCGCACACACACCUGAGACUCCCUGGCUCUCUCUGUGGGCCACAGGAUGGGCUUCAGUUAUGGCGAGUAAUAAUUUUGUUAUCGCGGUUUUUACAUUGAUUUGGAACAUGGUGUUACACAAAAUGCUGAACAUGUGCCCCCUGCACUCCCAGGGCUGAGACCUGCGUCUGGUCCCUGCUAGACACCCAGCGAGGGUUGACAGCAUGAGCGAAUGAGCUUCUCCGUCUGCCCGUAAGUGUGAUGGACACCUUCUCCUACAGCCACCCGUUUCACACAUCAGGCAAACGUCUGUCAAGUCCACUCCUGAAAAUCCUGGUAUUUUCUCUACUUCUCUAUGAUAAUUUUAAUGUUUCCUUGAGGCAGUAUUCUUGCACCGGAAAGCAGCAUGAAUGAGGACUUGGAAAGCCCCCGCUUGCCUACGAAGGCGUCAUGGGUGGGGCUACUCAGGAAGCUGACACAGAGCAGAGCUGAGCGUGUUCUGAGCAUGCUCUGAGCAUGUUCUGAGCGUGUUCUGAAUGUGUUCUGAAUGUGUUCCGAGCCUGUUCUGAGCGUGUUGAGUGUGUUCUGAGCAUGUUCCAAGCAUGUUCUGAGUGUGUUCUGAGCCUGUUCUGAGCGUGUUCUGAGCAUGUUCCAAGCAUGUUCUGAGUGUGCUCUGAGCAUGUUCCAAGCAUGUUCCAAGUGUGUUCUGAGCCUGUUGUGAGCAUGUUAUAAACAUGUUCUGAGUGUGUUCUGAGCAUGUUCCAAACAUGUUCCGAGCAAGUUGUUUCUAAGCAUGAGCAUGUUCUGAGCAUGUUCUGCGUGUGUUCUGAGCAUGUUCUGAGCGUGUUUCGAGCAUGUUCUGAGCAUGUUCUGGGUAUGUUCUGAGUGUAUUCUGAGUCGGUUCUGAGCGUGUUAUAAACAUGUUCUCAGUGUGUUCUGAGCAUGUUCUGAGCAUGUUCUGUGUUCUGAGCCUAUUCUGAGCAUGUCCUGAGUAUGUUCUGAGUGUAUUCCGAGUCUGUUCUGAGCGUGUUCUGAGCAUGUUCUGAGCAUGGUCUGAGCGUGUUCUAAGUGUGUUCUGAGUGUGUUCUGAGCAUGUUCCAAGUGUGCUCUGAGCAUGUUCUGAGCGUGUUCUGAGCAUAUUCUGAUCAUGUUCUGGCUUUCAUGGGCCAUGUGCGUGAGGAAGAAGGAUGUGGCAUUGGACAGGUGAUGCAGUCACAGCCUCGCCCUAGGCCACUCCGGGUCUCUGCUGCCAGGCUACGAGGAGCAGAGAAACACAGGUCCUCUAGCGCAG
rnacentral:lncRNA from 1 species